rnacentral:rRNA from 1 species
CCUACGGGAGGCAGCAGUGGGGAAUAUUGGACAAUGGGCGCAAGCCUGAUCCAGCCAUACCGCGUGUGUGAAGAAGGCCUUUUGGUUGUAAAGCACUUUAAGCGAGGAGGAGGCUCUUGAGGAUAAUACCCUUGAUGAGUGGACGUUACUCGCAGAAUAAGCACCGGCUAACUCUGUGCCAGCAGCCGCGGUAAUACAGAGGGUGCGAGCGUUAAUCGGAAUUACUGGGCGUAAAGCGCGCGUAGGCGGCUUGUUAAGUCGGAUGUGAAAUCCCCGGGCUCAACCUGGGCACUGCAUUCGAUACUGGCAAGCUAGAGUAUGGGAGAGGAAGGUAGAAUUCCAGGUGUAGCGGUGAAAUGCGUAGAGAUCUGGAGGAAUACCGAUGGCGAAGGCAGCCUUCUGGCCUAAUACUGACGCUGAGGUGCGAAAGCAUGGGGANCGAACAGGAUUAGAUACCCUGGUAGUCCAUGCCGUAAACGAUGUCAACUAGCCGUUGGGGACCUUGAGUCUUUAGNGCGCAGCUAACGCGAUAAGUUGACCGCCUGGGGAGUACGGUCGCAAGCUAAAACUCAAAGGAAUUGACGGCUUGGAGACGNGCGAGCGACACGAGGGAGGAG